AGCACCUGGAACAGGAUACAGAAGUGCUGUGGCUAGAUUUCAAACUUCAAUGUUCUCAGUGCUCUCAGUUUAAAGAUGAACAAAGAGGUGUGGAGGAGCACAAGGCUGAAAUGGAGCAGAAGUGGGAGAAACAGAAGACCAGUCUUCAGGGAAGGUAUGAAAGACCAAGUGCACUGCAACAUCUUCUUCAUUUGUGGGUCAACACAAUGUGCUAAGAAGAGCUUUGCUGUAUCUUUAUCUAGUAUAAAAUCUCUCAAGGAGGCUUUGGAAGUUGUGGACUCAGUGGAGGACCACAUCAGAUGCAUCUCGGAAAGAUUUGAACACAUCACUGGGAGACCCAGGGACAUUAGCACAUUCUCACCGAGUGACGCUAACACGCUACAAGAUGUAAAGGACUUGGACAAGAGCAUCCAGCAAGAAAUGGAAAAGCUGGUGGACAAUCCAUUGAGCUCCUUGGUGCAGGGCUGCAGAAAGUGUCUGGAUGAACUGAGGCAGCGGGUGAGGAAGUGUGAGGCAGCCACUCAAGCCCUAGACCGCUUCCUGGUAUCUUUGCAUACCAUGGAGCAGGAAAUUGGCACUGCGUGGGCCAAUCCCAGUGAUGAUGCCAUCUCACUUCGAGACUGUCGCUCACGGUUGGCGUUGGUCCGGCAAAGUAUACGAAGUGUGGCAGACAAAGCACCGCAGCUUGACCAGCUGUUGAAAGGAGCUGUUUUGGCCGUAACCCGUAAUGGCAUCCCGGCUUCCUGCGUGGAUGUAGUAGUUGUGCUGGAGAAAAAGCUGGAGGAGACGGAUGCUGGCCUGAUUAAAAAGCAGCAGAGUUUUCAGAGAGAGCAGGAGGGCCGGGCUGUGGGGCUGAGGAGGAGGACUCUGCAAGGAGCUUUAUGCGAGCUGCAAGCUGUUGCUGAGCGCCAGGGUUUGAAGGAGCCUACAAUACCUGCUGUGCAGCAAAGGUAUGAUGGUUGGCUCUGAAGGUCCUAGAAUCACUUACUGUUA
rnacentral:lncRNA from 1 species